ACUGCAGUCGAGCGAACAGACAAGGAGCUUGCUCCUUUGACGUUAGCGGCGGACGGGUGAGUAACACGUGGGUAACCUACCUAUAAGACUGGGAUAACUUCGGGAAACCGGAGCUAAUACCGGAUAAUAUUUCGAACCGCAUGGUUCGAUAGUGAAAGAUGGUUUUGCUAUCACUUAUAGAUGGACCCGCGCCGUAUUAGCUAGUUGGUAAGGUAACGGCUUACCAAGGCGACGAUACGUAGCCGACCUGAGAGGGUGAUCGGCCACACUGGAACUGAGACACGGUCCAGACUCCUACGGGAGGCAGCAGUAGGGAAUCUUCCGCAAUGGGCGAAAGCCUGACGGAGCAACGCCGCGUGAGUGAUGAAGGUCUUCGGAUCGUAAAACUCUGUUAUUAGGGAAGAACAUACGUGUAAGUAACUAUGCACGUCUUGACGGUACCUAAUCAGAAAGCCACGGCUAACUACGUGCCAGCAGCCGCGGUAAUACGUAGGUGGCAAGCGUUAUCCGGAAUUAUUGGGCGUAAAGCGCGCGUAGGCGGUUUUUUAAGUCUGAUGUGAAAGCCCACGGCUCAACCGUGGAGGGUCAUUGGAAACUGGAAAACUUGAGUGCAGAAGAGGAAAGUGGAAUUCCAUGUGUAGCGGUGAAAUGCGCAGAGAUCUGGAGGAACACCAGUGGCGAAGGCGACUUUCUGGACUGUAACUGACUCUCAUGUGUGAUAGCGCGGGGGAUUAAUCAGGAUUUGAGAUCCUGGG
rnacentral:rRNA from 1 species